AACGUGGAAAGUAAAUUUUUGAUAACAAAGACUGUAGCUUUAUCAGUUGUGAGAAAUGAGAAAUUAAACCACCUGAAACUAAAUUCAUAAUGAAAUAAAAUUAAAGACAUGAGAGAGGACAACAUAAAACAACUGUGUCAUGUUUCAUCACAAUUUAUUUACAUAUUGCCACUCACAUAUUAUGUUGGGGAAGUGUUUUCGCAAUAAAGUAUGUAUAAACUUGUAAUAAAAUCUCUUUGGCUAUACUAUUUGUAUCUAGCUAGUUUUGGUAUUAUUAAAAGUUUAAAUUUUAAACAACAUAAUUUCUGAUUCAAAAUAGGAAAAUGUGUUUUUUUUUUCGUACUGUCAAGAUGAGUGAAUCUAAUGAAGAAA